AGGGCAACAUGGCCUGCACCACAGACUUUGGAAUGGGAUGACAGCUAGUAAGCUGUAAGACUUGUCUAUCCAUGUGGCAAGAUAGCAAACCAGCUUGCAAUUCUUUUGGCAUGCUUCCUAGUGAAAGGAAAUCAUUGUAGCAAUGAAGCAGAAGAUGUGCCGCUCAGGACAACAAUAUCCAUAAAGAAAAGAGACCGCUUCUGGUCGCACAUCAGGGUGUACACUCUUCCUGUACCAGAGGAAGGUACUGUAGAAAUUUACUAAGUUGAUUCAGAAUAAUUUUUUCAUUCACUGUCCUGUACAACCAGA
rnacentral:lncRNA from 1 species